GCAAACUUGGUCAUUUAGAGGAAGUAAAAGUCGUAACAAGGUUUCCGUAGGUGAACCUGCGGAAGGAUCAUUACCGAGUGAGGGUCCCAAAAAGGGGCCCAAUCUCCCACCCGUGUUGAACUGUAGCCAUGUUGCUUUGGCGGGCCCACUGGGACCCGGUUCCUGGUCGCCGAGGGGCAAGGAAAUUCCCCCCCCCCUGGGCCCGUGCCCGCCGGAGACCAUCAAAAUGCUCUCUGAAUUUUAAGUUGGUCUGAGUAAAAAUUUAUAACUAUUUUGAAAACUUUCAACAACGGAUCUCUUGGUUCCGGCAUCGAUGAAGAACGCAGC
rnacentral:misc_RNA from 1 species